GCGAGACGACGGUCUCUCCAAUAAAUGACUUUACAUCUACACAAUAAGAUAAGUUACACAUCACACAUUUAUUCUUAUAAACACAUAUGGGGCACACUGGUGUCCUGGCUUAUGCCAUCCACACAUAGUAGAAUGGUACCUUCACAGCUUUGCUCAAUCAUAAAUCCACCCGCCAGUAAGCCACCAGUAAUCCAAAUACAUCUAGUUUGUCAGCCAUUACCAAGGCAUAUGGUACCAAGAUACAAAUCUCAGUAUUUCAUAUUAACAAGACGGAUGUGGCUGCGGCUGUUAUACUAUGACUGUUACAGUGAAACGGUACAGCCGAAAAGGAAGCUAGAGGUAUAUACAUGUGUGUCUGUAUGUGUUUAUAUUACUAUAGAAUGUUAUUAACUAUGUAAUAAAAAAUCUUUUUCUGGUAAAUCAGGAAUUGGAGUUUUCCUCAGCAUUCUUAAAUCAUUUUAAAAAGUAUUGUAGAACAGGAAAAGCUGAGACACGGGUCUAUUCACUAAAGAGGUCGUUUUCACAAGAACUGAGCAUUUCAUCUCUAUGACUUCUCCCAAUGACUUCCCCCAGUAAGUUGUAUAUAAUGUAUAUACAAUAUAGGAGAAUUUUCAACUGUAUUUUACUGAUGUAUUAUAGCCCCUUCAUGACAAAGCCUGUACGGGCUUAAAACGCAUUGUCAUUAAUGGGUUUUUUAUUGUUACUUGUGGAAUAAAUUGACAAAUGAUUGGAUGGAAA